CCGGCGUGCCGGCGUCCAUGCUCGCGGCAGAGCUGCUGGUGCUGAGCUUCUUGCUGAAGAGCGGCGUGGUGGGCACGGCCACGGUGCUGACGGCAGCUGGAGGAGGGACGAACACCCGCGAUGGGAUCACCCAUGAUGGAUUGGAAGCGCCUCAUCCACGCCGCAGGAGGGUGGGCAGCAUCCCAGCCGUCACCA